AGGUUACUCGGCAUGCUCGGCGUGUUUACUUCGGUGGACUUCCUCCGAUCGCUAAUGAACAGACGGUUGCUCUAUUCUUCAAUCAAGUUGUGGCUGCUAUCAGGGGAAACACAUUUGGUCUAGGUGGCAUAAUCAUCUGAAUCCAAACAUAUGG